rnacentral:tRNA from 1 species
CGGAGUGUAGCGCAGCCUGGUAGCGCAUCUGCUUUGGGAGCAGAGGGUCGGGAGUUCGAAUCUCUCCACUCCGACCA